rnacentral:rRNA from 1 species
GAUGAACGCUGGCGGCGUGCCUAAUACAUGCAAGUCGAGCGAACGGACGAGAAGCUUGCUUUUCUGAUGUUAGCGGCGGACGGGUGAGUAACACGUGGAUAACCUACCUAUAAGACUGGGAUAACUUCGGGAAACCGGAGCUAAUACCGGAUAAUAUUUUGAACCGCAUGGUUCAAAAGUGAAAGACGGUCUUGCUGUCACUUAUAGAUGGAUCCGCGCUGCAUUAGCUAGUUGGUAAGGUAACGGCUUACCAAGGCAACGAUGCAUAGCCGACCUGAGAGGGUGAACGGCCACACUGGAACUGAGACACGGUCCAGACUCCUACGGGAGGCAGCAGUAGGGAAUCUUCCGCAAUGGGCGAAAGCCUGACGGAGCAGCGCCGCGUGAGUGAUGAAGGUCUUCGGAUCGUAAAACUCUGUUAUUAGGGAAGAACAUAUGUGUAAGUAACUGUGCACAUCUUGACGGUACCUAAUCAGAAAGCCACGGCUAACUACGUG